GGCUAGAGGGGAGUCCAAGAUUGGGGGGCUCCACAAGCUCGGGCCCAGUUCCAGCUGCAGAAUGCCUGAAGCCAAGGGGUGGUGCUUGGGAAUGUGGGGCCGGACUGAAUAUACAACACUCUCUCCCUGCUGAAAUCCAAGAAGCC